AUUGAACGCUGGCGGCAUGCUUUACACAUGCAAGUCGAACGGUAACAGGGUGCUUGCACCGCUGACGAGUGGCGAACGGGUGAGUAAUGCGUCGGAACGUGCCGAGUAAUGGGGGAUAACGCAUCGAAAGGUGUGCUAAUACCGCAUACGCUCUGAGGAGGAAAGCUGGGGAUCGAAAGACCUGGCGUUAUUCGAGCGGCCGACGUCUGAUUAGCUAGUUGGUGAGGUAAAGGCUCACCAAGGCGACGAUCAGUAGCGGGUCUGAGAGGAUGAUCCGCCACACUGGGACUGAGACACGGCCCAGACUCCUACGGGAGGCAGCAGUGGGGAAUUUUGGACAAUGGGGGCAACCCUGAUCCAGCCAUGCCGCGUGUCUGAAGAAGGCCUUCGGGUUGUAAAGGACUUUUGUUAGGGAACGAAACGGCUCUCUCUAUACAGGGGGCUAAUGACGGUACCGUAAGAAUAAGCACCGGCUAACUACGUGCCAGCCGCCGCAGUAAUAC
rnacentral:rRNA from 1 species